AUAAUACCUAUUACUUCUCUCCGGAAAAUUAUUGAAAUUUGUAUUUAGUAUGGGUACGAACUUAAUACCAGCGAAUUAAUGACCAUGGAUCAUGAUAGACAACAUUAUCGACUUUUCACCUUCAAAAUGUGAUUUACCCGAUGCGACUUUUGUCUUUUAUCGCUACCUUUGUUUAGUCCCAGUUGUCCCAAAAUGGGUUUUCAACUCAUGGUU